rnacentral:rRNA from 1 species
UAGUCCACGCCGUAAACGAUGAUUACUCGAUAUUGGGAUUUAUCUCAGUGUCCAAGCGAAAGUGAUAAGUAAUCCACCUGGGGAGUACGAUCGCAAGAUUGAAACUCAAAGGAAUUGACGGGGGCCCGCACAAGCGGUGGAGCAUGUGGUUUAAUUCGAUGAUACGCGAGGAACCUUACCAAGGCUUAAAUGCAGAACGACAGAUGUGGAAACACAUCUUUCUUCGGACGGACUGCAAGGUGCUGCAUGGUUGUCGUCAGCUCGUGCCGUGAGGUGUCGGGUUAAGUCCCGCAACGAGCGCAACCCCUGUUCUCAGUUACCAGCACAUAAUGGUGGGCACUCUGAGGAGACUGCCGGUGAUAAGCCGGAGGAAGGUGGGGACGACGUCAAGUCAUCAUGGCCCUUACGUCUGGGGCUACACACGUGCUACAAUGGCCGGUACAGUGAGCCGCAAUGCCGCGAGGUGGAGGCUAAUCUCAAAAAGCCGGUACUCG